rnacentral:rRNA from 1 species
UCCCUAUCUGUUGUGGGCGUUGGAGACUUGAGAGGUCCUGGCAUUAGUACGAGAGGACCGUGUUGGACAAACCUCUAGUGUACCUGUUGUGGCGCCAGCUGCAUCGCAGGGUAGCUACGUUUGGAAGAGAUAAGCACUGAAAGCAUCUAAGUGCGAAGCUCCCCUCAAGAUGAGGUCUCCUUUAAGGGUCGUUCUAGACUAGGACGUUGAUAGGCUGUAGGUGUAAAUGCGGUAACGUAAAAGCCGAGCAGUACUAAUUACCCGUAACUUUCUA